rnacentral:ncRNA from 1 species
CAAACGAAAAGGCAAACCUGUCGUGAGGCAGGGACGCAAAGCCGUGAGUGUUCCAGCGUAAGCGUUCUGUUCAGUCAAGGAGCGCAAAGGGAAGACUGUCUGGUUGCCGAA